AGAGUUUGAUCCUGGCUCAGGAUGAACGCUAGCGGCAGGCCUAAUACAUGCAAGUCGAACGGGAAGAGCCCUUCGGGGUCUGAGAGUGGCGCACGGGUGCGUAACGCGUAUGCAACCAACCCUUUCCGGGGGACAGCCGGUGGAAACGCCGGGUAAUACCCCAUGUUGACGGGAGGAGACAUCUCCAUCCGUUGAAAGACCUCGGUCGGAGAGGGACGGGCAUGCGUCCCAUUAGCUGGUUGGCGGGGCAAUGGCCCACCAAGGCUACGAUGGGUAGGGGAUCUGAGAGGACGGUCCCCCACACUGGUACUGAGACACGGACCAGACUCCUACGGGAGGCAGCAGUAAGGAAUAUUGGGCAAUGGGGGGAACCCUGACCCAGCCAUGCCGCCGUGAGGGAUGUAGGCCCUACGGGUCGUGAACCUCUUUUGUCCGGGGACAAGGACGUGCACGUGAUGCACGUUUGCGGGUACCGGACGAAUAAGCAUCGGCUAACUCCGUGCCAGCCGCGGC
rnacentral:rRNA from 1 species